UUGCUUAGAGAGCCGAAUCCCUUUUAAAGGGAGCGGGGGAACCAAAAGUAAUUGGGGUGAAGUCCGUCUGGACAGGGUAGCCUUUCGACCCUAACCCGUCAGCUAACCCCGUAGGCGUACGAAAGGAGUUUU
rnacentral:sRNA from 2 species